rnacentral:rRNA from 1 species
CAGCUUGCUGGGUGGAUUAGUGGCGAACGGGUGAGUAACACGUGAGCAACCUGCCCCUGACUCUGGGAUAAGCGCUGGAAACGGCGUCUAAUACUGGAUACGAGUAGCGAUCGCAUGGUCAGUUACUGGAAAGAUUUUUUGGUUGGGGAUGGGCUCGCGGCCUAUCAGCUUGUUGGUGAGGUAAUGGCUCACCAAGGCGUCGACGGGUAGCCGGCCUGAGAGGGUGACCGGCCACACUGGGACUGAGACACGGCCCAGACUCCUACGGGAGGCAGCAGUGGGGAAUAUUGCACAAUGGGCGGAAGCCUGAUGCAGCAACGCCGCGUGAGGGAUGACGGCCUUCGGGUUGUAAACCUCUUUUAGCAGGGAAGAAGCGAAAGUGACGGUACCUGCAGAAAAAGCGCCGGCUAACUACGUGCCAGCAGCCGCGGUAAUACGUAGGGCGCAAGCGUUAUCCGGAAUUAUUGGGCGUAAAGAGCUCGUAGGCGGUUUGUCGCGUCUGCUGUGAAAUCCCGAGGCUCAACCUCGGGCCUGCAGUGGGUACGGGCAGACUAGAGUGCGGUAGGGGAGAUUGGAAUUCCUGGUGUAGCGGUGGAAUGCGCAGAUAUCAGGAGGAACACCGAUGGCGAAGGCAGAUCUCUGGGCCGUAACUGACGCUGAGGAGCGAAAGGGUGGGGAGCAAACAGGCUUAGAUACCCUGGUAGUCCACCCCGUAAACGUUGGGAACUAGUUGUGGGGUC